UCCCUGAUUUUAUCACUUCCGUUGACGAGUCUUGUGUCAGCAUCUUGAUGCGAGGUACAACUUCUAGGUGAUCUUCUUCAUGUUUUACGUUGUUGUACUUUUUGCUGCAAUGUGGACGUACAUAUUCUAGCAGAUAUAUCUUCAUGCUUUACCUUGUUUACCACUGCCCUGAUGUGGAGGUACAGAUUCUAGCUGAUAUAUAUCGUCAUGUUUUACCUUUUACCAACAUCCAAGAUUUUUGUUUCCUCAUUUCUUUCAAUUAGAUAGAAGAUGGGACGUGCUUUGUUGUAGUUUCCUCUUACUUUGACUAAGUAGGACAUUUUUUUGAAAUACCAAAUUGUGGUGUCGCUACCCCUACGCACCACGGUUUUGCAGCACCCUCAGCUAAAGUAAACCAUUCCAAGCCUACCAUACUCGAAACAUGGAAGCAUGCAAACUUCAGAGCAUCUUGGUGUCGCUGGCCACCCGAUCUCUACAACCACCACAAAAUGCUACAGGACCAACCAGGCCGGUGUCCUGACCACUGAAUCAUGUCACUGUGUGGGCGCCUAGAUCUCCCAUGUGUCUGUCUAAAGCCUGAGGGGCCAACCUCGCUCGAGCGUCGCCAGCCAGCACUCAUCUGCACAUGAACAAAUGGUUGGAUAUAUGUGCCUCCUCCGUCUCUUAUUCCCCGAAACAUAAUUUGAUGAGUAGAGUUUCUAAUCAUUUAUGGCACACUGGCAUAUGAUUAAACUGCACAAGUUAGAUUGACAUUUUGUGGAGAACGGUCGUCGGUUGGGAGCCUCGCCGUCUACCUCCACCAGCCGGCCCACACACCAUUGCUCCCCGCGUGUCGCGCCCCUCCCCGAACCAUCAUGCCUUCUAAUUAGUGUACGUGGUAGUCUGGUAAAAGUGGAGAAUAAUUCGGGUAAUGUCUAUGGAUGUACUACCAGUAUUGCGGCUAACCUGCCUGGCAGUGAGAUGCAUCUAGAUUAGAUCUGAUUACUGAUAUAGAAGAUGCAAUUAAUUAUCUAAAAUUUUCCUUGUACCAUUUUCCAUGAGAUUAAUGUAAUUGGGAAUACCAGUGCUUGUUUGAAUCAUUUAGUUAAAUAAUUUUAUAGAUAAAACUUGUAUUUGUAUGUUUUGGAAUUACUAUUAUCCUGGUAAAAUGACCACAAGUGAAAGGGUUGUAAAGAUUAAUUAUUCUUUGUGGAAGCAUUACUGGUCUAAUUAAUAGAUGUACAUGCAUCAAUAAUGUUGUUGAGCUUUAGUUGAUUCUAUAGUGUUGUACUAUUCGCAAAGUUCUAUUUUGAGAAAAAAAUGGCAAAUUCAAUAUUGUGCCAGCUAAAUGGCGCACCCGCUGUAGCAAGUGAGUUCCCAUCAAAAUCACCCUGAGCAUAUUUUUGCUGAUUUUCAUGAUUGCUCUUCUGCCAGGAACAAUGUUCCUGGCACUUCGACCACACAACUGUAUGUUCAUGUUCCAGUGUCCUUAUUCAUAGUUAAUUUCAAUCACAAAGUGACAAAUGUCAGUCUAUUAGUUAACAUGUGUAUCUCCGUUUCUUCUAAGUUUCAAUCGACCUACUCUGAAGUUGUUCCUAAGAUAGUGCCUCAAGCAAAGGGAAUGAGCCUCAGUUAGUGCAUCUAGCAAGUUCGUGAUCCUUUGUUGGGAUAAACAUUUGUGCAAGAGCAAUAGUCUCGUCACUAUUGGUUGUUAGUACUGUUGCUUGUUAAUUCUACUUUUUACUUCAGUUCGUAAUGCAAUAUAGUUAUGCUUGACGCACUAUAAGAAGACUGCCAUUUUGCCUUUUGACCUUGGUUUCUUCCUCCAGUAAGUAAAUGCACAUAGUUCUUUUGUAAAUUAGAGCAUACGACUUGUUGAUCGAUCUCUGAGCUCAGUAAUAAUAUUAAGCCUCAAUCUGUUUAUUGUGCACACAAGAUGAGAAAGAAUUGCUACCCAAGAAUAUGUACUUUAUAAACAUUUCAACUGUAAUCUGGAAAAAAAUUAAAUAAAUAAGGAAACAGUAUAUUCAUAUAUCUUUUUUGUACUUUGAUGGUGUCACACCACAAGUUCCGAGAUGGUAAUUGUGCUGCAUAUGUCUGCUCUCUUACUUUGUUUUUCUGAACAGGUAGGUUCUGGAAGAUGUCAUGAAGAAUUUCUUUCAGAGAAUUUGCGUGAGGAGUGUCUAAAUGAUUUUUAUCUUCUGAACAUAUUCUUGUAUGACUAACUGAAUUCAUUUUUUCAAAACGUCGGUACUUUUCCUUUUUCAUUUAUGUUGCUCGAUUGAGUCCACAUGCCUGCCCUUACUGAGUUUGCUCAAGAGUAAGAUAAACUUGAUAUUUAUGUUUGUCGGCAGCAGCGUGACUAGCUGAUCUGUAGCGGCGCGGAAGGUGAGCUUGGCUGCAGGUAGCAGCUCCUUUGGCUGAUCUGCGGCGAUGCAGAAGUUGGGUUGGAAAGAAGCACGACCGGCUGCUCUGAAGUGGGACGUAGGGAGAGCUUCGUAAGAGAUAGGGAGGGAGCUCUAUUGGCCCGUGCAUGACAUCCAACCCAAUGGCAUCAUGCCCUGGUAAGCUUCUUAUCUGUUCCAAUUCUUGCACUUGGUCUUUUUCUUUCUAACCCUAAAAAUAGAGUGUGCCUUGAUUCCUAAUCAUGCUUUAAAAGCUGAUAUCCACCUCGUUUAUCUUGCUACUAGUGGUAAUGUGUGCAAGUAUGAUUUUGUGAUAAUGCCAGAUGUUGUGUGCCUUCUUUAUUCAUGGUACGAGUACUCUAACCUGGCUCGUAUGAUAAUGUAUCACUGCUAUAGAGCACAAACGACGUGUUUUUUAAUUAUAUUUUAGUUGACAUGGAUUUCAUUUAUCUUGUGAAUUGUAUAGUCAGAUCAUGAAUUUUUAUGAUUGAUUGAUUUUCAUGGUCACAGGUAGGCAUGGUUGUGUGGCCACGGGGAAAAUGGAGCAAGUAGCAUGUGAGGAGUUUAACAAAUGGGGACAAGGGACAGUUUAGUUAAUUAAGGCUCUAUGUUAGUUUCAAGUUUUAUCCUUGUUGCGGUAAAAAAUUAUGGUUGGAUUAACCACCAUGUACAUCUUUAAUUACUUUUAAAUAAGAAAUAUAAUCAAAAUAUUCUUUUGAAUUGAUAAAAUUUAUAUAAUUUGUACAAGUACAUGAAGGUGGAACAGGAGGAAGGGUGGGAGAAGAUUAGAUAUCGUUUCAUUUUCUUGCAAGGAAAGGAUGGUUACGAAGAAAUGACAAGAAAUGGAGGGACAAUCAGUUUUAUUACUGUAUGGAUGGAAACCACAUGCCAGCUUGUCCAACAUAUUUCUACAUUGAGUCAAUUAUUCAAUCGCUAUAUUUUUUUUAUUCCAUGGCAAUGCAUGGUCAUUCAACUAUUCAAAUUUACGG
rnacentral:lncRNA from 1 species